GACCUUGCAUAGCUAGCCUUGCCAUGCUUUGUUGGUCUCGAGUCUUCACUGAUCUUUACUUCUUUGGGAGAGGCAUGGCAGAGUACUUCUGGUUCUGGUCGCUCCCACAGACUUGUCCUGAUUCGGUGGAGGCCUGGCUGUUUCUGCUUGAUCGUGCCACCACUGCUGAUUUGUGUUUGUGACGCUACUGAACUGGACUGCUGCUAUCCUGACAAUGGAGAUCGGAAUGACUCUAAAAUCUACUUCUAAACAGGCUUCGACUCCAAUGCUGCCGUUUCUCGGAGGUCAGGAAUCUUUCUUACCCGUCACAUCUUCAGUGGCAGCGUGUCUGCCAAAUUGCUCUGUUUUGUUUCAUCACAGCAUUCACCUCUACCUGACAUUUCCUCGGCUCCUUUGUCAUUGGCUGUCUCCCUCUGCUUACACGCCCACUGUGGAAAGCAGUGACUUGCUUGCCUUGGCUACUACCACAGCCCACAGAGUCGGACUCCUGAAAAUCAGAAAACAAUCGAUUCGGAAGCACUCACUUCCUAGACUGCCCGUCACUCAGGCUGCCCAGACCCCGACUCCAGACCUGAUGAGAGUUUCAAGGGAAAGAGAAGAUCCAACUGCCUCGUGCUUCUCUCCUUCUUAGCACAUUGAGAAACUGUAGCCUCAAGCCUGAAAUCCUUUUAUAAGGAGAACGAUAGACCAGUUCUGUCAAAAAGUGAUUUCAGUGGUCUCACUGUGGAAGCUCACAGGUUAACUUGCAGGAGUAGAGAAUGGAAAGUCAGCCACCAGAAGCUGAGACGGACAAAGGGGAAGGAGGAUGCGGGGAGGUCAAUAAUGGUGACCAAAGUGCACAGAGAUGGACGGAUUAAACCCUUGCAUUCCUUGGCGUUGUGUUUCUAUAGUAUAUAAAAAUGUAUUAUGUAUUUCACAAAGCAUCAAAAUAGAGGAGUUGAAAUUUUUCUUUUGAACACAAAUAAAUGGUAAUUAUUG